AAGGAAGCAUUUGUCUUGAGAACAAAAUGAAAUUCUAAUUAAAGUAGUUACAAGAAAAGAAAAAUCAUGACAUUAAGAUAACAUGUAAUGUUGGAAGAGUUUAAAAAUAGCAAUUUCUGUCUCCCAAAGUGGUAUGAUUUUGAUUCCCUUAGGCAUAGAGAACUUUGUUUACGGUGGUUUAACUUUGCAGUUUGAUAGAAGUCAGUAUCUUCAAAAAACUAAAACAAAACCUAGGAACUCAGGGAUGAAGUGAUACCCGUAUCUGUGUGACACAUUAGCUAUUUUGUCAGUUCUAUAUUCCCAAGUUGGAAUUUAACAUAAAAGAAAUACCUCAUUACUUUGUUCUAAAUCGUGUCUGAUCCAACAUGGAAGAAAUAGAUUUGGGGGGCUUUCUUAUUAGAAAAAAAAUCGUAUCUUUGACUGAAUGAAAUAGUUCCUGCAAAAAGCAACUUGGAAUUCACCUUUGGUCUCCUUCCUAUCUUUAGCCUAUUUUCUAUAAAAAAGGUUUCUAGAUUUUAGGGUCUGCUUAGUUUUGGUUAUCUCAGCUGUAAUAAGUAGCCUUGGGACCCCCGAAGGCACACCCCACACACUUAUGCUGCGUGACCUAAGGUCACAAGUAAUGGCCGCAAGCUAAUUGAUUGAGAAAGGCUUGUCUGGCGGGGCCUCUUUGCGUCCUCUCUUUACAUUCCUUAGUCCUGUGAAAGAGGCACUGGCCGCUCAGCUAGCAAGGAAGGAAAAAAGAGAGGAAGUUUCUCCGCGUUCUGAUUACUCUCUGAAUUCCCUUGUAGCGAGCUUACUUCUCUCCACCCACUUCUUACCGAGAACUUAAUUUGAAGGUGAACAACUUAAAGCCUGUUCCCAGAGAGGUCCCCGAAAGGUGAUUUGAGUGUUUACCGAACUGAAGGAACAAAUUACCUACUUGAGGCGGUGGGCAGCGUAUGGAAACGCUAUUAGAACUUCAGCAAAGUGCACAGCUGCCUAAUACCGAAGCCGGGACUCAGAUUGAUAGGCAAAUCAGCCAGCUCGUGGAAGGGCCCUCUGGGUGGCGGCUCCGGGCUGGGCUAGUGGGUGCUGGACAACUGUAGGCAAAACAGAAAUGGAGCAGGGGCAGCAGAUAGCACACUUUUACGCCACGCAACUGUUGCUUUCGCAUGGUUAUUGAUCAUUAAAAUGGCAUUGUAAAGGGAUGACUCAGAAAUAACAGAGCUUGUUGCUGCUUCUGAGAUAAAGAAAAUUCUCGAUGUCAAGAUUUAAAUAGAGAAGAGAAUGAGAUAUACAAAAUGGGUAUUCUUGAAGUUAAUCAGAGAAAUAUUCACGCACCUGUAAAGGGAAAAACUUAAAAUGGAUAUGAGAAGUGAAGAAAGUGAUCAUAGGAGAAAAUCAUCUCAGAUCAACCACUUCAGAAGAACCAGAUUCCACUUCUGUGGCCAGGACUUUUAUGUUAUGGCUGGUCCGAUUGUUAUACACUGCGUUUUAUGCUACUAAACCUUGGAUCAUUCCUAAAGUACCAAUUCUGUUCUUGAACCACAAACAAGGCUAAAAGAUCGGAGGAAAUUCAGUGAAUAUGCAGGAUUGGGAUUGUGUAUUUUCAAAAGUAUUGAGCUUUAUAAUGCAAUUAUUUAAGAAAUAGAAUCUUUUUUUUUUCUUCUCAUGUUGCCAGCAUUUUAAGUUACAUGUUUAUUAAGUGGCAUUGCUCAAAUAGCUACAGAGUAUGCAUGGAAAUAUUUGCUGUCUGAAUAGUUUGGAGAUUCAAAGAGAAAAAUCAAGCUUCAGAGGUAUUAAGUUAUGACAUGCAAAAAAAGUUUUCGUUUUAUUCUUAGCUGCAACAGUAUAUAUUUAAAUCAGAUUUAAAGUGUUAUAUGUCCUUGGCCCACCUUAACAGUUGUACUGUAAAGAAGUGUAAUGGGAAGCAGAAUUUCAAUUAGGGUCCCAUUAACUGGCAUAUAAUCCUUCUUUAAUGUAAUAGAGGCUAUGGUGUUUCUGUACAAAUCUGCUAGAAACAGAUUUUAACCCAUUUUUAGUCUCUUUCUUUGGAUCUGAUGGAAUGACUCUUAACUGUUCAUUGUCUGCAUUGUUUCUCAUAUUCUUCAUUAUUUUAAGGUCUGGAAUUAGUCUAUAAAUGGUCGUCGUGAAUAUUCAGCUAAUCCUAACUUUUAUAUAGCCUAUAUAUUUCUACGUAUGUAUUUUAAUUAGUAUUUAGAGGAAAAAGUUUAACUGAACCCAACUGUAAUUUCUAAGCUAGCCUUAUUACUGGAAGAAGAAUUCUACCGCAUCAAACCAGACUUUUCCUAGUCCCUGAGACCCUAACUUGUGAGGUAUUUUAGUAACAUCACAAGUCAGGCUCUUGGGACCUAGGCGGAGGGGAACCAGCAGCUUUGGACCUUAUUGAUUGUCUGCAGUUACCACCAGAACAAAAGAACAUACAUAGAUUCUGCCUAGGAGAAAAGAACAAUGCUUUUCUUUAUAAUCAGCAAUGUUUUCAUCAUGACCCACCCCCAAAUAUACUAUUUUCAGAAACUGUACUCAAAAGUGAUUAUAGAGUUGCACUGAGUAGCAUUUGUAUUAUAUUAUAAAGACCAUAUGAAAGCAAUAGAAGAUAACUAUGUGAGAAGCAAAGUUAAAAUACAGGUGUUUUUAAAAUGCUUCUUUUAAUGUAUUUUGAGAGAGUCUAAGAGAAUACCUCCUUAGUUAAUAAGGAAGAGAGUGGUUUAUAUUUAAAACUUCUUUCAUAUGCAUAGAAAUAUAUACAUUAGCUACUUACAUAAAUCCUAUAUGUCUCCAUGUAAUUAUGGCUCAGAAUAUGUAAUGUAUAGCUAUAAUCAUGCUUGAGGCCUAGAAAUAAAUCAUUUACAAUCUUCUUUACUGACCCUAUUAGUUUUUACUACUGAUUUAAGGAGAAUGCUAUUUUAUACUUGGUAUUUACUCCCAGAGUUUUCCUUAGUCUUUUAACCAGACGAAAUACUUUAUAUGUCAUAUUAUAAUAAGGCAUACUCUGGUCGUAAGAGUCAUCAGUAAUUAGCAAAAAUAUGGUACCUUUUCGUCUUUACAUUUUACUUUGUAUAUAUAUCAUGAACCUAUGUGAGAUAAAUCAGUAAACACCACCUAUGAAGUCAGACUGCUCUAUUCAUCUGUCAACUGAAUCUGAACUGCAUAGUUUUAGUGUUUGAAGAAUUUCAGUUUUAUAAACUAUUCCAACUAUAACUACUGUGUCAUAUUUGAACAUUAUUAGCCAUUACCACAUCACAUAUUUACUUCUUGUAAGUGGAAUCAGUAUAUUAAACCCCUUUACAGAUUUUACAAUAAUAUUGCAGAUACUAAGAUUCAAAAUGGAGAUGACAGACUUUCCAUAAUAGAAGAACCAAAAUGAUUUCAUUCUCUUAACUCUAAUGCUUUACAUGGGUGCUAUAAAUUAUAUGUAUCUUCUGCAUUGUUAAAAUAAAUGUAUGAAUGUACUUUAGAACACUGUAUGGAGUCUUUGUUCACCUUUUCAUUGGAUUUGUUACAAUUACUCAUGUUUGAAAUAUCCCAGGAUCCUAAUCACCCAUGACUUGUAUUUCCUGAAAAAUUGAUACUACAAUAUUAUAAACAUAUUCUUCAUCUAUACGAGCCACAUAGAAUAUGUUUAAGCAUGUGUCCACACUGUAACUAUUCAGAUUCCUUAUUUAUAUCACCUAUUUCAUUUAUCUAGAAUCUCUGAAAUUUUAAGUGUGUAUAUGUGUGUGUAUAAACAUAGGUUUUAAAACUCCAUCUGAAAGGAGGUAACAUAAACAGUGAAGAUUUUUGGUAGUAUUUAUCUUUUACUUGUUUUAACCACGUUUUCAUUAUAAUUAGACAGCUUUAAAAGCACAAGUUUCUCAAUUCAAAGAACUCUAUGUGUAUGUAUCUACAAGUGCAUCGAGACUUGAUUAUAUUUAAUAGCAAUGUUUAUAUAUCAGAUCAGGAAUGACCUCAUAUAUAAAACAAUGUCACAUACAAGUAUAUGUUUACAGACACCUGAUUCAACACAAUCAUAAAUAACACAUAAAAGGUGUUUCAUAAAUUUACUUCUAAAAUAAUAUAAGGGAUGAUUGUUUAUUGGCUAUAGUGAUAUCAGAUAUAAGCUAUUUCAAAUGCAAUAUUUUCUAUGUUAUUAUAUCUAUGAACUGCACUAUAUAUUAACUUCUGUUUCAUAGAAGAAAGAUACCAGAGCUGAAUUUAGCGUGCAGUGAUGUUUAUCUUGCUUUUUUACUAAUCAUCAUGCAUUCGUUGAACCCUCUCAAUGUAACCUUCCUGCAUAUAAACUAUCUUUUCUGAGAACAUCAUUGAUAAAGCUUUUCUCUUACUCCAUAAAGGUGAGUAGAGAUAUAAGUAGGUGACUUUGUUUAUAUAAAACUACUUUAUGCUGUAUAUGGAUAGAUGAAUGCCACUUUUUCUGCAUUUCUACUUAAGCUGUCACAGAAUAAUAUUGUUUGGGGGGUAUAAAAUAUGAUUUGGAAAAUCAGAUCAUACUAAGCUUAAAAUAAAAGGAAAGGUCUACAACAAAGAACGAGAAAAUUAUGUGUGUUGCCUACAAAAAAAAAAAAGCAGUGAUAUUAACAAUUCGAUGGCUUCCUGGUUGGGAGACCAGCCUGAGCCAGACGCAUAUAUUAAGAGCUGUCUGCUGCCGAUGUGAGCUUGCUCAAUGCGGUGGAAAUGAGGAAUCACCUCCUCUCUGACACCAGCUUAUUUUCACAUUUUAAUUUUGAAAUAGCAAAUCACUGUUUUACAUAAAUAUACUAACCUCCGCUUGAUUCUUAUUCCUUUCUCAGAUUGCUUGUUAAUUUACUAUGAACUUCAAGUUCCUUUUUUAAAAAUCAUCACUCACUUUAAACUUAUCAGUUUAAAAUCUAUCGAAGACCAAUGAAGUAUUAGUUUUUUUCUGUCUCUUUUGUAUUGUUCUGUUAAUAUUGUGAUACUCAUGCAUUUAACUUUUAAUCUCUGUAAGGAAAAUGUCAAUUUUCCAAAAUGGCAUUUUUUUAGGUCUUUUAGGAUCCAUCAAGGCAGCCACUUCUGGAAUUUUGCCAAAUCUAAAUAUGAUUAUAUUUCAUUGCAGGGUUCAUGGGAUCAAUAUUUUUCUUCGUAUGAAAGUCCUUAACACUUUAGUGUUCCAGAAGCUAAAGAAGAGGUAUAUAGAGAUACUCUUAAGUCAUUUAAGCUUUAGGCUACAUUAAUAAUCUCUAGAAGAGGUAUAAGUAUCACAGGGGAAUUAUAGUAUAAGUUAAUUACUAAUGAAAUCAGAAAAGGUGUAUACUGCCUUCCAUUUUCUUCCAAAUGGGCAUGCCUAAGUUUGGUCGAAUUCACCUGAUAAAUAUGUAAAUGGUUUUACAAGCUGUCAUAUUUGGAUAGGUUUUGAGAAAACAGUACAUAAAGGGUUAGCUAACGCCCAAGUUUUCUUGCCAUUUACACAUGCAGUGCUGCCUACAUUUCCGUAGGCAGCAAGCACAGGCAUCAUUUUGAUUACUUGGAUUCUUUUGUUUAAUUUCUUACUAGACAUUUAACUCGGUACUCAAAUUCCACUGAUCUCUUAGUAACUGUAUUUGGAAAAGGAAAAUGAAGUUUCUAAUAUAGAGAAGUUUUAAAAAAUCCUGGGCGUUUGUAAGCAUUUGAAAAAUAGACUUUUUCGUGUAGCUAUGCAAAUACAUGUUUAGUGUGCAGAAACUUAGGUGCUAUUAUUAUCUGUCAUCUCCAUACUUAGUUUUCUGAUGAUUUGUGGUCAAAUACACACUGAAGCAUAUAUGCAUAUAUUUAUUAUAUAUGUAUAUAUCUUCAUUUUUAAAAAGUCUCAAUAAAAUCAAUGUAGAAAUUGACAUAUUGUCAUAAGAUCAUCCACAGCAGUUUUUCAGUGAGCUAGCUUCAACUUUCAUUGCCUUUUCCCCAAAUCUCUCUUAUGUUAAAUGUAGCUUUACCGGAUGAAGUGCCUUACUAUCCAGAACUGUUAACUUGUAUGUAAUGUUCUACUUGUGGAAGUUUAAAAGCAGGUGGAACUUGAAGGUAAUGAUAUUAAGGGAAUGUAAGAUUAAAUAGUUUUGUUUUUAUAAUCAGUCAGCUAAUUUCAUGCAUGUUUUAUGGGGAAUUUAAAAGUGAAAAAUUCUCAUAUGGUGACAUAAAUCUUUCAUUGUUCAUAUAAGUAGUGUGAUUUUAAGUUUGCUACCUUAAUAGUUGAUUCCUAAAAAAGUAUGAAUAAUCAUGGACUGCAUACCAGUUAGGUUAAUGAAAUAAGAAUAGUGACUUCCACUUUGCAUCUUAGUCUUUUAAGGUAUUUUGGCUUCUUUUAUGCAGGUGGAUUUAACCAUUCCUUUUUUCUAAGAAGUUUCUCCCUCUCUGUUGGUAGGUGUCUGAUGAUUUGUGAGCACCAAGUGACUAUUCUGUGGAAUCAUCUUUCCUUGCCUUUGAAUUAGCUUUCCCUAGGCCAUGAGUCAACAUCAAUGUUUUGUACAUCCAAAUUGCUGUUACAGGGAAAUGAUGCCAGAAGUCAGCCAAAGGAAGAGACACAAUGCAGAGUCUGGAGGGUUCCAAAUGUGAAGCUUUCCUUGUUCCCAGGACCUGUUGCCCUUCUAGUAUUGAUCUGUGACAAUACGCAUGUGGUAACGCCAAGGGGGAAGCUUUUGUGAGCUUCAGCAUCCAGAGUUUUUAUUGAGGCUUCAUUACAUAAGCAUGAUCGAUUGAUUUACCAGGUUUUCCAGAGGGUCCACCAUGAAAAACAGAGACGCCUGUCACUUGGAAAAAAUCCCAAGGGUUUAGAGGUUACUUCCCAGGACCUACGUACAAAAAUGGCCACACCUCUUUUGGAUGAGGCCAAUUUCCUCACCAUGCAAUAUCAUUUACUAUUUUCUGGGGUAAAAUUCUCCGAUUCCUUAAUGUGACAUGAAAUAUAGCUUUAGAAGCUAAACAUAUCUUGGUUGCAUUUCUGUAGAUAAGUCCUAAUUUAUCAAUGUUCUCUUUUGGGGUCCAGACUUAGGGUAACUUUGAUAACAAAAUAUAUACCUUGUGUCACUACAAGCUACAUUGAAGUAUUGCUACUGUAAAGUAUGAAAUAAUACUUUAGAGUCAGGGGUCAGACAGACAGAGAGAAUCCUGACACUUAACAGCCAUUAGACCUUGUGAAUGCUACUUAUUCUUUUCUGAGCUUUCGUUUUUUCCUAGAGAGUUAAUAAUAUUCCAUAUAUUAUGGGGACUAAGUGAGAUCACAUGUAAAAUCCUUAAUGUAUCAUAGGACCUUAAUAAAGAUUAGUUCUUGUCUGGAAAAAAUGUUGGAUGAUAUGAAUUUGUGUUUGAGGGGUUAUCUUAGGCAACGUUUGCCUAUCCAGUCUUCUAGACUAGAUGUAUGCAUACAUUAUUAAAACAAAACAGAAUUCAUUCAAUUUAUCAAAUAUUUAUCUAAAUCCAACUGAGAAGUGUAAAGCAUUAUGCUAGCAACUUAGAAAAAGGCAGUUUCAGCCUUCCUGGAAUGAGAACAUUUUCAUUAAUAUCUUUGAUAUAAGUAGACUGCAGUAGGUGUUGAAUUAAAGUACAUAUCAGAUGCAGUGAUGGAAGGUGCAAGAGAAAAAGAAAGUCUGACUGGGAUUAUUAGAGAAUGCUUCCCUGAGAAGGUGAUAUGUCUGAAAGGCCCAAUGUACUAGCAGGCUUUGAUAGCACUUUUAAGAAUAGUGAAUACCAUUUUUCAGAAUUUAUAAAUGUAUUUACUUGGUGAAAAGUGAAUUUUAUGACAAGGUAUAUAUAAAAUUAUCAUAAACAUAGGAACAAAUCAUAAAUCAAAUUAUCUUAUAUCAGAAAUAAGUUCUCUAAAAAUAAGAGGCAAUGUUAAAAAAAACUUUUAACUAAAAGCUUAAUCUUUGUAAUAAAAAUAGCUCGUUGAUUUUAAGGGAUGUAAAGAGAUUGCUUCUGUUCACUGCAUUUUAAAAAUUCAGAGACUAAAAACAAUUAAAAAAUAAAAAUCCAGUAGACUUAACCCAAUUUCUGAUAUUUAUUAUAUCAGUUUUUGAAUUCCAGGAAAACAUAGAUUUUAUUUAAGGCAGGCAGUUCAUUUGUGAGUAGCGAAAGACUUAAACAUAAUUAAUUUGUUCAUCAAACAAUUCAUUCAGCACAUAUUCAUUGGAUGUAUUCUGUGCACCAGGCACUAUUCCAGGCUCUGUGGGAAACUGACAAUAAACAAGUAAAUAUAUAGAAUGUCCAGGGGUAUAAGUACCAUCAAGAAAAUUAAAGCAGUAUAAUGCGUGAUAGAGAGUGUUGGAGAAUAGUCGAAUUUGGUCUUUUAUGUAAAUCGGUCAGGAAACACCUUCUGACAGACAUCUGAGCAGACAGGAAUGUUCGUGUGGUAACAAGUCAGAGAGAUAUUCUGGGGUGAGGGUUCCAGGCAGAGUAGACAGCAAGAGCAAGGUUCCUGAGGUUGGAGCAUGCUUGGCAUUUUAUAGGAGGAGCAAGUGUGGCUGAGAAGAGUGAGGGAGGGAGAAGGCAGGAGGUUGCUACAUUAUCGGGUUCCAUAGGCCACUGCAAAGACUGGAUUUUAUUGCAAGUGGCACCUCAGUAACCUGACCCAUGCCUACCUCUUAAACCUCUGUCUUUGCUUCUUAUUUUUUCUUCUCUACACUUGUGCUGCCUAGUAUGGUAGCCAAUACCCCACAUCCGACUAUUGAGAACUUGGAAUGUGGCUAGUUCAGUUGGACAGUAUGAAAAAAAGUGAAAUAUCUCCAUACUUUUAUAUUGCUUAAUAUGUUGAAAUGACAACAUUUCAGGUAUAUUGGGUUAAGUAGAAUAAAAGAAACUUCAUCCCUUUCCUUUCUUUUAAUUAAUGUUUUUAUUUAGAAAUAAUUCUAGAUUCCCAUGUGGUUGUAAGAAAUAAUACAGAGAAAUCCUGUGUUCCCUUUAUCUAGUUUUUCCCAGUGGUAAUGUCUUAUCAGCACAAUGUGACUACCAGGAUAUUGACAGAAAUACAAUCUUACUCAGAUUUCUCUAGUUUUAAUUGUACUCGUGUGUGUGUGUGUGUGUGUGUGUGUGUGUGUGUGCUUAUCUAUUCAACUUUGUCACAUAUAUAGGUACCACAAUGUCAACAUUCAGAACAGUUUCUUCACCACCAAGAUCCAUUGUAUUGUUCUUUUAUAACUACACCCACCGCAUAUUGUGCUACAUCCCUCCCCGGGGCCCCAGCCUUUACCAACCACUAGUCUAUUCUCCAUUUAUAUACUUUUUUCAUGUUAGAAGUGUUAUGUAAAUGGAAUCAUUCAGGGCAUAUUCUUUGGGAACUGGCUUUGGUCCCUCAGCAUAAUUCCCUCAAGAUUGAUCUAAGUCACUGUCUGCCUCAAUAGUUCAUUCCUCUUUAUUGCCAAACAGCAACCCAUGAGCGGGAUGUACCACACUUUGUUUAACGACUCACCCGUGGAAGGACACCUGGGAUGGUUCUCGUUUCUGCUACUAUGAAUUAAACUGCCAUAAACAUUCCUGUACAGAUUUGUGUGUGAAUAUGGGUUUUCAUGUAUCUGGGGUAAAUGCUUGAGUACAACUGCUGGGUCAUAUGGUAUUUGCAUGUUUAGUUUAUAAGAAACUGCCAAAUCACUUUUCCAGGGUUCUGUAUCCACCUGUUUCUUUUUACUUUUUGUCACAUGGCUACUAGAAAAUUUAAGAUUACAUAUGUGGCUCACAUUUCUAUUUAACAGUGCAUCUCUUGUGUAGAGCACUGGUUCCUCAUCUCACGCUCUCCACAUGUGCUGUUCUCUCUGGAGUGUGUUCAUGACCCCUCUCAGAUGUACAUGAACGUCCAUAGCACAGUGGUUGAAAGCAGAGUCUCAAACCAGAUGGCCUGGGUUUGGAUCUUGGAUCUACCCCAUAUGGGGUAUCUGAUUUUUAAGAUAGUUAAUACUUUUCCCUCAGUUUUAUUAAUCUGUAAAUGGGAUGAUUAUAGCAAUACCGAUCUCAUUGGGUUGAUAUGAGGACUGAGUUAGCACAUGUGAAGUUAUUUCCUAAUGAGCUCUUUCUGACUCCUGCCCAAGAGCAGAUUGAAAUCCUUAUAUAAGCUCUCAUCACAGUCAACAUCCUCAUUAAAGUUGUAAUUCUAUGAUUAUUUUGUAUCUCACUUCACUAUUGCAGGGGCAGUGGUCUUAUCUAACUUAUUCAGUACUAUAUCCUUAGUACUAGUAUAGAACUUGCAAAAAGGAGAGAGUAUAUCAUUGUUGAAUGAAUGAGGGAAUGGAUAAAUUGCUUUUUUUGAGUCGUGUUUUUUUUAAGUUUUUUAAGUUUUUAAACUUCAGUUACCAUGCAAUGUAAUGUUAGUUUCAGGUGUACAACUUAGUGAUUCAGCUCUUUCACAGAACACCCCCGGUGCUCAUCACAGCAAGUGUACUUCUUAAUCGCAAUCACCUAUUUUACCCAUCCCCCACCCACCUCCCUUCUGGUAACCAUCAGUUUGUUCUCUAGAGUUAAGAGUCUGUUUCUUGGUUUACUUCUCUCUCUCUCUCUCUUUUUUCUCCCCAUUGCUUGUUUGUUUCAGUUCUUAAAUUCCACAUGUCAGUGAAGUCAUGGUAUUUGUUUUUCCUCUGACUGACUUACUCUUUGGUAUGGCCAAGUAAUAUUCCAGUGUGUGUGUGUGUGUGUGUGUGUGUGUGUGUGUGUGUGUUUAUUUUACUAUUAUAUAUAUAUAUAUAUAUAUCACCUCUUCUUUAUCCAUUCAUCAGUUGAAAAAUUUCGUUCAAUGGAAGCAUUCAAUGGAAGCAUGAUUUACUUUAAUUAUUUAACUUAAUUUCUUCUUCCUUAAUUUUCAAAAUCAAUGUUAUUCAUGUUUCUCUGAUUUAGAAGACUAGGUUUCUAUCUGCAAGUUCUAUGAACAACUUGUACAUGUGGAUCCAAUCUAUUGUGGAGUAAAAAUUGUUCUGGAAAAGUGAUUGAAUUCAAUAGUAAUAGUACUAAAAUAUAUAUGUGUAUAUAUAGAGAGAGAAAGUACUCUGUGACAGUUUUAGUUCAGUUAUUCAGUUCAAGCAAUCAUGUAAUUGUUAUGAUACAAUUCAUGUUACUUAACUGCUUCCUUUGGAUUAUGGGCCCUAUGAAGACCAAUCCCUCAGUCAGUAGGUGACAUUAAGGUAAAAGUACUUUUUAAUGACUCUGCAGAUACCUUUUUCUCAGUAUACCUAGUCCUUAAAUAGUAAGCUCCAUGACAUUCUUAGGAAAGUCACAGAAAACCGUGGCAUAGCAUAGAUGAUUUUAAUUUACCCACUCUGUUUUAAAACUGUGUACCAACUACCAACAGCACAUGCCUGUUUCACACACACACCCAAAUAUAUUUUGUCAGUGAUUGACCUUUAUCUUCUCACCUACAGAGUGAGGUUACUAUAGUAGAAAGAACACUGAUUUAGGGUCACUUUAACCUAAGGUGAGUGAGGCUCUUGCCAUUAAUUCUACGGUCUUGACCAAUUAAUGUUUCAUCCUUCAUUUCAUUUCCUAAGUAAUGGGGAUGUUGAUGAAUUCUAAGUGGAAUUGCAAUGAUAACUAAAUACAAGUGUCCAGAUACAGAUGCUAAGUAAAAAAUAUCUCCAUUUUUGGAUGGUACCAGGAUGUAUGGGAUGUGCUGAGUUUCACAUGUUUUCUUCAAUUUUACCAUACACCCUCACAGGCAUUAGGCACUGCUAUACUUUAGCAUGCUGAGUACCAGAAAUGCACUUUGUUUAACCAGACAGCUACAUGACAAGACUUUGCCAUAAGAUUAUGACUUUCAACUCCAAACUAACCAGUGAAAUAAAAUACACCUUCUUUCCAUUGAAAAGUAUUUGAGCUCAAACUUGUACUGAAGCAUAUCUGGGUGUAAAAGAUUGCGAUGCCAUUUGUUUCCUGGUUUGGUGAUUUUUAAUACCAAGUAGAUUAAAAUAAUACUAAAUAACAAAAAAUUUGCUAAUAUUUAUUGAAUUUUUACUCUGUGCUCAGAACUAUAUGGAUUUGCCAGAACUAGUUUGCGAUAUAAUUGAUAUAUAACAUUGUGUCAGUUUAAAGUGUAUAACAUGUUGAUUUGAUACAUUUGUAAAUUGCAGUAUUAUUACCACCAUAGCAUUAGCUAACACCACCAUCAUGUCCCAUAAUUAUCAUUUCUUUUUUGUGGUGAGAACAUUCAAUCUGGUUUCUUAGCAACUUUGAAGUAUAUAAUGCUGUAUUAUCAAUAUAACUACACAGGUAGCUACUAUAAUCAUCCCUAUUUUACACUUGAGGAAACAGGCUAAGAGAGAUUAAAUUAGUGACUCAAGGUCAGAGUACUAGUAAUUAUUAAAGCCAGGAUAUGAUUCUUUGUAAUGUGAGAGUUCAAGCCUUUGCCAGUGAUGCAUGUUGCCUCUUAUUUCAGUAAUAAGUUGGCCAUUUGGGUUAAUCAUGGGGAAGGUGAUGUUCCCUUUGUUUUCAUAUUCCUUAUAUUUUUCAACACUUUUUAUUCAUAUAUAGUCUGGUAAAAUAAAAUCAUGUCCUCUCUUUCCUAUGCCUUUACAGUUAUUGUGUUACUAUGGCCUUUAUAAAUGAAAUAAGCAAUGACAACAACAAACCCUUGCCCAAAGUGAGUGAAAAUUCUAGCUCCUUUUCUCAUUUUCUUAUUGCAACGCAAGGACUUUGAGAUUCACCACAAAUUAUCUAUACACCAACGAUAUUUAAUUUUCACAGUCAGGUAACUCCUGUGCUAUAGACAUGAAAGCAUGACACCUACAUGUUUACAAUCAUUUCUCCUACCCUAUUUUAAUAGAGCUAGCUGUAUGUAACUAUCGUCUGGAAUAACAAUGUUAAAUGUAUUAUUUUAUUUAACUAAAAUAUUAAAUCCUUAAAGAAUACCAUUUGUUUGCCACUCAUUUACAUAUUACAAGUCUAUGUUUGGACUUUGUUAGCCUUUUCUCUACUGUACCUCUGCUCCACACAACUAUUUUUAUGUGAAAAUUGUUGCUUUAUAGGAUCACUUUGCCACUAUGUUGCUAUUUUAUUAUUGCUAUUAUAUUUAAUUGGAAUACUACUAUUGUGUAACCAGGGAGAGUUCUUUCAACCUGGGAACAUUUGCUUCAAAUAGUAUGGAGCUAUUUAUUUAUUUAUUUUCAUUUCCUUACAGUAUCAGCUUUGAUUAAUAAUUAUAUACAGGCUUUGUUCGUCUUACCUUGGUGUCACCAGUAAUUGGGAUCCAUAUCCAUAUCCUAACUUGCAAUCAUGCUGCAAGAGGCCAAUAAAUUCCCGCCGAGUGUGUUACUUGUUAAAUUUAGUGCAUUACACUCAGGGUAAUGAAUAAAAGCAGUGGGCCGUCACCGUCUGGCUGGCUGAGGAAGGCUAGAGCAGGCAGACUCCCCCGAGGCCUUGAGCUGGCUUAUAACGGUGACAGGCGGAAUCAAGGGAGUCCCCGAGCAUCACAGUUCAGUUUGUCUCCCUUAAUUUCCUCUUCUGUAGAGACUCAGAAGGCUGUAGGGAGGUGAAGUAAUCUCAGCCAUUAAUUCACCACACUUUCAUAAAAUGCUGCGCGCUCUGGUUUCAUUAACAAGCAAAUACAAUUUGGAUAAAUAGUCAUGUGUUUGCAUUCAGCAGAGAUGAGAAUACCGUUGAAUAUAAACUAGUGGGUAUGCUCCAUGCAGCUCACUUUGUGUAUCUACAUAUGUCUACUGUGUAUUCACUUGUCUAUAUUAAAUAUGCACAUAGGUAUUUUUAUAUGAGCGAAUAACCAGUAAAGCAAGCUCCUACCAUAUAUAUGUACUUAUUUCCAGCUCAUAUUUAUUGAACAUACAUAAGCAAUUACUAAAGAAAUGACUACCACAUUCUUAAGCCAACAUGUAGCUCUUUCCUAAUAAAUAAAUAUAUUCUUCAAAGGAAAAUGUUCUUUCUUAAACUAUACUAUCACAAGAAUUUAACAUCUGCCAUAAAUGUAUAAAUGCAAGAAUGUUAGAGCAACCAGGUCUAUCUUCUGAGUAACUGCUUUUUCUUGGUAACUGAAAGUUUUUGUUAUCCCAGCAAAUAAUUGUUAUAUACUAUGUCUCAUGCCAAAACCAGCAGACUCCUUUAGUCUUUGAGUAAUUGUGAACGUUAAUAUCUAUCCAGAAACAGAUUCUUAAAGAAAGGAGGAAGAAUAAUUGGUGUGAAAUGACCACUUAACAUUAUUCUUGAAUAUCUUGGAAAAUUUAGUGUAGAGUGUCCUUUGCUAUCCAUGAUAAAGCAGCUGGUUCAAAAUAACAUGGUGUAUCUCAUUAGAGGGAUAUUAGAUCUAAUUAUGCAACAUAUAAGUGAGAUCAUUAUAGUAACAUUAUCUCAAUGAGGUAAGUAAAGCACACGUGAAAUCUAACACUCUGCCGCUUGAAAGAAUUUUUGAAAGCAAAUGUGAGGAAUUAAUGAUAAUUUAAGUGUACUUUGAAAGAUGUUGAAAACCCAUCAUGAAUCUUUGACAUGUAAUGGAAAAAUAUAAUAGAAUGAUAUUACCCUGAUUAAUUCUACUGAAGAUAAAAAUGAACUUCCUGGGCGAAUAUCAUCUUUUAAUGCAGACAAAUUGUUUUCUAAACAAAAUAAAACAAAAAGGCAGAGAAGUGUCAUAGCGUGUUUUUUUGUGUGUUUGUUUUAUUACCUAUUUGGGGGGGGACUUUUGUCAUAUCAGCGAUCUUCAAACUUCAGAGUGUAACAGAAUCACAGAGAGGGUGCUUUUUUAAUGUUAAUUUCUUUUGAGAGAAGAGUGGGGGGGAAAGAGCACAAGCGGGGAAGGGAUAGAGCGAGGGAGAGAGAGAAUCCCAAGCACGCUUUGCACUGCCAGCUCAGAGCCAGAUGCAGGGCUUGAUUUCACAACCAUGAGAUCAUGACCUGAGCCAAAAUCAAGAGUCUUAUGCUUAACUUAGCCACCCAAGUGCCCUAAGAGAGCUAGUUAAAACAGAUUGCUGGCCCCAACCUCAGAGUUUCUGAUUCAGUAGGACUGGGUGGAAUCUGAGAAUUUUCAUUUCUAUAAUUCCAAGUGAUGCUGAUGCUCUGGUCCAGGUGCUCUUUGAAGACUACAGGACUAUGUGAAAAUCACUACAAAGGACACUUAAGUCAUAUUAUCAUCUGGAUUAUUUUUCUAUACAAUUAAAGUCCAUAUAUCCCAUACUCUGCUUGAUAUUUUUCAAUCAAGUUAUCUUCAGAAAUCCAGAUUCUAUUAUGAAGAAAGCUGCCUUUAAAAUAUAAUUAAGGCUAUCUGCCUGACAAGUGCAUUGGGCAUAUUUUUAACAACAUAUUUAAAAACAACCACACGACAAAAUGAAUAGAUACUACCUAGCGGGGAAGAAGCCAAAAAUAAUGAGUUUUAGCUCUGUGAAGCUAAUUUAGCUUUCUUAUCUGUAGAUAUUAUCUCUUUCCUAAGAGGUCUGAGUUAACUACUAAAUUGAUUGAUUCUAAUGUACAGCAUGGUGACCAUAGUUAAUAAUACUGGAUCAUACACAUGAAAUUUAAUGAGUAUAGAUCUCAAGUGUUUUCAUCACGCACAUACACACAAAACAGGAAAUAUGUGAGGUAAUGGAUAUGUUAACCUGAUUAUGGUUAUCAUUUUAUAAUGUAUAUCAAUCAUCAUAUUGUACACUUUAAAUAUAUACUGUUUUAUUUGCCAAUUAUACCUCAAUAAACCUGAAAGAAAAAAUAAUAAAUUGAAGCCCUCAAAUAAACUUUAAAUUAAAAAUUAGCAAUUGAAUGAAUAUUGUUAUCAUGUAUAAAACAACUGGUUGAUUCCUUUCAUUUGUAAAGUAAUAUCAGGUAUAGUUUGACUGGUUUUGUUAAUUUAUUACCUAAAAGUGUGUUUAGGAAGAUGUGUACAAUAAAAUGCCACCCAAAGUUUGCA